UACGGGGGGAGCAAGCGUUGUUCGGAUUUACUGGGCGUAAAGGGCGCGUAGGCGGCCACCGCAAGUCGGUUGUGAAAUCCCCGGGCUUAACCUGGGAACUGCAUUUGUGACUGCAUGGCUGGAGUGCGGCAGAGGGGGAUGGAAUUCCGCGUGUAGCAGUGAAAUGCGUAGAUAUGCGGAGGAACACCGAUGGCGAAGGCAAUCCCCUGGGCCUGCACUGACGCUCAUGCACGAAAGCGUGGGGAGCAAACAGG
rnacentral:rRNA from 1 species